GACACCUUAUUUAUAUAGGUUAGUUAUUUUAGUUAUUUAGCGACGCACCAUAGUAGACGCAUAUUGAACGGGACUAGUGACGUUUGGGAUAUGUUGGGUUAGAGACCGGAAAAUCAGUUAGCGUUAGAACACUCCAGGGUAACGACGUGUUUAGUGACAGAGACUUCUACUGUGGCCUUUUAUCAUAAUAAAUAUAUAUUAACUUGUUCAUCAUCGUUGACUACAUCUCUUCACCUGUUACAAUUGAUGUGCCAGUUCUUGUUUGUGUUGUUGGUCAACUACACGUAAUACACCCGAACAAUUACACCCAAACGAUUGCAGAGUAAUUGGUUGACUUCAAGACAGCCUGAACUAGCAACAUCACAGUGGCGACCCCGAACCUCGAAGCCCGACGAACAUCGAACCGGACCUCGAAGCAGAACGUUUACUCAGGUGAGGGUCGUGCACUCGAAGUUAUAAGAUUUCAUCGGAGUACGGCUGAACACAGCAGCAUCGCAGAGUGACUUUGUUCUGGAUCUACAUACAGUCGUCGCCUGUUUGAUCGCACGUUCAACGAGCCGUUAACUCAGGGUGACCUUCGUCAGGACCGUAAUCAUCGCAACGCCUGAUCUUCAUAUGCUGAACCGACCUACAACCAGAGAAACCGUUCAUUCAUAACGGGUGAGAGAUCGUUAGUGAACCUGUUGGACAUAUUUUUUCUUCGUCAUAGGAGCCACAUUGAGUAUCAAGUUUUACCUCGUCAGUUUCGAGAAGGACAGUUUGCCCGCUGUCAGAAGUAUUGUGAGUACUACAAGUUUGGUAGCUAACUAAAUCGAAAUCGCUCUGUCGUCUUACCCUUGGAGAGAUUCUUGUGGAGCAGUUUGCUCAUUGAACCGGUUGCUUGCCACGUUUAUAACGGUCACUGUGUUUAACCUUUGGAAGGUUAGUGAAGUAAUCUUUAUCAGUACUGAACAUUGAUCUAUCUAGUAUUCGUCGGUCUAGACCAUACCUAGACUUGUUAGCAGUGAAGUUGUGGAAACAGCUACAUCCACUUAAUUUCGUUGAAAACCGUUAGUCGUAUAACGGAACGUCGUCGGAGGUGACCUUGGUCUCACCUAGUCUACAUUGGACAGUUUGGUCUAGUGAAGCAGAGUACAACAGCAAACUUCGUCGUACUACCAGAGUAGCAGCAGAAGCAGUGAACUAUUUUAGAGAACCGUUAUUCGUCAGCCCAGAUCAAGUCAUCGUCGAGAAAGUCGUUAUUCGUCAGCCCAGAUCAAGUCAUCGUCAAGAAAGCCGUUAUUCGUCAGCCCAGAUCAAGUCAUCGUCAAGAAAUUCAUUAUUCGUCAGUCGUCCAGAUCAAGUUGCCGUCAAGAGACUGUUAUUUGUCAGUAGUCAUCUACACAAGUCAAGUCAUCGCCAGAAGAACCGUUAACCUAUUCGUCAGUAACUGUGUACACAAAGUCGUCGGAACUACACAUACGGUCAUCAACAGUCGUCGAAGAAACUGGAACAUUUUGCUGUGGCAUAUCAGGACAUCUGUGGCAUUACGUGGGAUACUGGUAGCACCGGAGAGCAGAGUCAGAACUGGAAGAGAGGCAGUGGAAUUUGUUGUGAUCUAACAUAUUCGGGAGUCCGAACAAAGGGAUCUUUCUUAUCAAAAGCUAAGUGCCAUUUUUCUUAUUAGUAUAUGUUUAGAUUGCCCUUAGAAAUAGAUUUUGUCUAAAUUUGGUACGUUAGCCUGAGUAAAAUCAGGUGGUGCGCCUUAAAACCCGUCGGGGUAGAAGACGUAAUUUAGAUGAAAAGCUAUAUUAUACGUUUAGGAUUGUAAUUUGUUUUGUUUGUGUAAACGUCAUAUCCGUUGUUGCCUGGUUACUUCGUGACGUUAUCAUUGUGUGCCAUAUUGUCACAUCCCAACCCAUAGUGAUAGUCUCAUUUAAUUAUUUCAUUUGUUUAUAUUAUUUUAAAUUAUUUAUUUUUAUUAAUUUAAUUAGAUCUGUAUUUUUUUUUUCACUUAAUGAUAGAAAGUGCGGGUAGGAUUCUUUCAUUGUGAAUCAGACUAAAAUAAUUUUAGUUUGAGCGGUUAAAAUCAAAUAUGAUUUUGCCAUGAGAAUAAUGCCGAAACUGGCUAUGUAGUCAAACACUAUCGUCUGGCUAAAUUUAGAUCUGCAAAUUGUUGUACAUCUCUUUGGUACAAUUUAAUCAUCUAGACUCUAAUUUGAAAUAUUAUUAAUUGAAAGAUGAAUGAAGAUUACUGCCAGUGAAGAACAUUUGAGAUGUGUAGGACAUGCCCAUAAGAUGCCACAUUUUCCUCCAUGAUGAACGGUGUACCAAUGAAGAUGAUUUUGGAAUGUUAUGAACUGUUAUGAACAUUGAAUAUGAGGAACUGUCAAGAUGAAGAUGUCAAGAUGAAGAUGUCAAGAUUUUAUGUUUGUGGUCUUCCCCUUAAAUUGAAAAUGCCCUUGUAAGACUUGACAGUAGUGGAAAAAUAUUGACAUAUUUUUUUUUCAAGGGGGGGAGGAAUCUGUUAGACACCUUAUUUAUAUAGGUUAGUUAUUUUAGUUAUUUAGCGACGCACCAUAGUAGACGCAUAUUGAACGGGACUAGUGACGUUUGGGAUAUGUUGGGUUAGAGACCGGAAAAUCAGUUAGCGUUAGAACACUCCAGGGUAACGACGUGUUUAGUGACAGAGACUUCUACUGUGGCCUUUUAUCAUAAUAAAUAUAUAUUAACUUGUU